CCAAAUGAAAGAACAGAGCAAAACUCCAGAAAAAGAGCUAAACAAAAUGGAGACAAGCAAUCUAUUGGAUUCAGAGUUCAAAACACAGGUUAUAAGGAUUUUAGUGACUUAGGGAAAGAGUAAAUGAACUUAGAGCUUUAACAGCAUAAAAAAUGUCAUGGAAACCAUAAAAAAACAAACAACCAAAACAAACAGACCAGUAAGAAAUGAAGGAUACACUAACUGAAAUGAAGAAUAAUUUAUAGGGAAUCAACAGAGUAGAUGAAGCCAAGAAAUAAAACAGUGACUUGAAAUGUAAGGAAGGGAAAAAGAAAGAAAGAA